rnacentral:rRNA from 1 species
GACGAACGCUGGCGGCGUGCUUAACACAUGCGAGUCGAACGGAAAGGCCUGCUUUCCCUUGUGGAUUGCGGGUACUCGAGUGGCGAACGGGUGAGUAACACGUGAGUGAUCUGCCCCCAACUUGGGUAUAAGCCUGGGAAACUGGGUCUAAUUCCCGAUAGGACUGCAGGGUGGUGCCUGUGGUGGAAAACGAUUUUCUAGUGGUUGGGGAUGAGCUCGCGGCCUAUCAGCUUGUUGGUGGGGUAAUGGCCUACCAAGGCGGCGACGGGUAGCCGGCCUGAGAGGGUGGACGGCCACAUUGGGACUGAGAUACGGCCCAGACUCCUACGGGAGGCAGCAGUGGGGAAUAUUGCACAAUGGGCGGAAGCCUGAUGCGGCGACGCCGCGUGGGGGAUGACGGCCUUCGGGUUGUAAACUCCUUUCGACCGCGAGGAAGCCACCUGGUUGGAAGGGUGGUGACGGUAGUGGUAGAAGAAGCACCGGCUAACUACGUG